GACGAACGCUGGCGGCGUGCCUAAUACAUGCAAGUAGAACGCACAGUUUAUACCGUAGCUUGCUACACCAUAAACUGUGAGUUGCGAACGGGUGAGUAACGCGUAGGUAACCUGCCUGGUAGCGGGGGAUAACUAUUGGAAACGAUAGCUAAUACCGCAUAAUAUUGAUUAUUGCAUGAUAAUCGAUUGAAAGAUGCUAUUGCAUCACUACCAGAUGGACCUGCGUUGUAUUAGCUAGUAGGUGAGGUAACGGCUCACCUAGGCGACGAUACAUAGCCGACCUGAGAGGGUGAUCGGCCACACUGGGACUGAGACACGGCCCAGACUCCUACGGGAGGCAGCAGUAGGGAAUCUUCGGCAAUGGACGAAAGUCUGACCGAGCAACGCCGCGUGAGUGAAGAAGGUUUUCGGAUCGUAAAGCUCUGUUGUAAGAGAAGAACGGGUGUGAGAGUGGAAAGUUCACACUGUGACGGUAUCUUACCAGAAAGGGACGGCUAACUACGUG
rnacentral:rRNA from 1 species